ACGGAGGGUGCAAGCGUUGUCCGGAAUCAUUGGGCGUAAAGAGUUCGUAGGCGGCAUGUCAAGUCUGGUGUUAAAGCCCGAGGCUCAACCUCGGUUCGGCACUGGAUACUGGCAAGCUAGAAUGUGGUAGAGGUAAAGGGAAUUCCUGGUGUAGCGGUGAAAUGCGCAGAUAUCAGGAGGAACACCGGUGGCGUAAGCGCUUUACUGGGCCAUAAUUGACGCUGAGGAACGAAAGCCGGGGGAGCAAAUGG
rnacentral:rRNA from 1 species